CCAGUUGCUACCAGGUAAUGCUGGGCGACUCUGGUGAGACUGCCCCGGUUAACGGGGAGGAAGGUGGGGACGACGUCAAGCCAUCAUGGCCCUUACGCCUAGGGCUACACACGUACUACAAUGGCGCAUACAAAGGGCAGCGAUACCGCGAGGUGGAGCCAAUCCCAAAAAGUGCGUCCCAGUCCGGAUUGCAGUCUGCAACUCGACUGCAUGAAGUUGGAAUCGCUAGUAAUUCGAGAUCAGCAUGCUCGGGUGAAUGCGUUCCCGGGCCUU
rnacentral:rRNA from 1 species